AGCAACCGUUAGUGGUGCUGCUCAGCCAUUGGACAGCACAGCAGUGGGACCGCCCAGAAGCAACCAACUAUCAAGCAGCAAGAGUUAGAUGGUCAGACAAUGGUGGAGUAGUAGUCGGGAGGUGGAGAGUGAGGACCUUUAUCAUUCUUUCUGUGUUAUCUAACCAAAGGACUAGAAGCCAAAAGUGUCUAAUAAGAGACAGCAAUCGAACAUCAGUUCAAGGCCCCUCACAACUCUGAAUGAAUUUUAAAAAGAAAAAAUUUCAAUGAGAGAAAGCGUCCUGCUUUAAAGGUGAUGUCUCAGAGAAGAGGAAGGAGUAAGAAGUCAGAAGAGA
ensembl:lncRNA